GAAGAGAACUGUCAGAUUUGCGACAAGUGUCACGAAUCCGUGAGGAAAGAGAAAAUGAUGAUGCCAUUAUGACAUCAUCAGUGUUAAUCAGCUAAGGGGGAGGCACGACUCCCAAGGUGAUAACGACGAUGACAACUGCAGUGGCGGCGACACGGGGCUUGAGGCACUGCACGCUUAGACGACAUGUUGACUCGCGUGUAGGCUAU
rnacentral:lncRNA from 1 species